GGAGGGUGCAAGCGUUAUCCGGAUUUAUUGGGUUUAAAGGGUGCGUAGGCGGUAAAAUAAGUCAGUGGUGAAAAGCUGCAGCUCAACUGUAGUCCUGCCAUUGAAACUGUUUUACUUGAGUAACCAUGAGGUAGGCGGAAUGUGUAGUGUAGCGGUGAAAUGCUUAGAUAUUACACAGAACACCGAUUGCGUAGGCAGCUUACUAGAGGUUCACUGACGCUGAUGCACGAAAGCGUGGGGAUCAAACAGGAUUAGAUACCCUGGUAGUCCACGCCGUAAACGAUGAUAACUCGCUGUUGGCGAUACACAGUCAGCGGCUUAGCGAAAGCGUUAAGUUAUCCACCUGGGGAGUACGCUCGCAAGAGUG
rnacentral:rRNA from 1 species